rnacentral:rRNA from 1 species
CGAGCGGCAGCGCGGGGGCAACCCUGGCGGCGAGCGGCGAACGGGUGAGUAAUGUAUCGGAACGUACCCAGUCGUGGGGGAUAACUAUCCGAAAGGAUAGCUAAUACCGCAUACGUCCUGAGGGAGAAAGCGGGGGACCGAAAGGCCUCGCGCGAUUGGAGCGGCCGAUAUCGGAUUAGCUAGUUGGUGAGGUAAAGGCUCACCAAGGCGACGAUCCGUAGCUGGUCUGAGAGGACGACCAGCCACACUGGAACUGAGACACGGUCCAGACUCCUACGGGAGGCAGCAGUGGGGAAUUUUGGACAAUGGGGGCAACCCUGAUCCAGCCAUUCCGCGUGAGUGAAGAAGGCCUUCGGGUUGUAAAGCUCUUUCAGCAGGAACGAAACGGUGGCUCCUAAUACGAGUUACUAAUGACGGUACCUGAAGAAGAAGCACCGGCUAACUACGUGCCAGCAGCCGCGGUAAUA